AAAAUGAAGGCCAGAGUAAACAAAUUUGGCCACAUUAAGCACCUGGUCACCAAGGCUGCUUUUAGCUCUGGCAAAGUGGAUAUUGUCAUCAUCAAUGAUGCCUUCAUUGACCUCAACUACCUGGCCUACAUGUUCCAGUAGGCUUCCACCCAUGGCAAGUUCCACAGUAUCAUCAAGGCUCAGAAUGAGAAGACUGACAUCAAUGGAAAUCCCAUCAUUAUCUUCCAGGAGCAAGAUCCCCCCCAAAAUCGAGUGAAAUGACAGCGGUGCUGAUUAUGUUGUUGAGCCCACUAGAAUCUCCAUUACCAUGGAGAAGGCUGAGGCUCACUUAGAGGGGUAAGCCAAAAGAGCCACCAUCUCUGCCCCCUCUGCUGAUGCCCCUUAUGUUUAUGUGGGGUGUGAAUCAUGAGAAGUAUGAAAACAACCUCAAGAUCCUUAGUAGUGCCUCAUACACCACCUACUACUUAGCCCUUCUGGCCAAGGUCAUCCAUGACAACUUUGGCACUAUGGAGGGACUCAUGACCACAGCCUAUGCAAUCACUACCACUCCGAAGACCAUGGGUGCCCCUUCUUGGAAACGUUGGCAGGAUGGCCACAGGGCUCUACAGAACAUCAUCUCUGCAUCUACUUGCACUGCCAAAGCUGUUGGAAAGGUCAUCCCCAAGCUGAAUGGAAGCUCACUAGCAUGGUGUUCCAUAUCCCCACCUCUGUGUCAUUUUGGACCUGACUUGCCAUCUGGAGAAACUUGACAAAUAUGACACCAUCAAAAAGGCGGUGAAGCAGGCAUUGGAGGGCCCCCUCAAGGGCAUCUUGGGCUAUAGUGAGUGCCAGGUUGUCUCCUCUGACUUUAACAGACAUUCACUCUUCCAGCUUUGAUGCUGGGGCUGGCAUUUCCCUCAAUGACUACUUUGUCAAGCUUAUUCCCUGGUAUGACAAUGAAUUUGGCAACAGGGUAGUGGAG
rnacentral:lncRNA from 1 species